rnacentral:lncRNA from 1 species
GAGGAAACGCGUGAGAGCGUUGAAUGACCUCAGAACUGCUUCCAGCAACACUUCUGAGCGCAGCCUGGGCGAAACUGGGUGAUCUUUAUUAGCCCGGGAAGAAAGGGAAGAGUGAGCGGUGCCGUGAAACAAGCCUUGCCAGCCCUGAUGUGCUCAGAAGGAGAACGGGAGGAGGGCGGGCAGUGGGCGACACUGUCAAUACCAGCCCCCACGCAAACUGCAGAAAUCCUACUGUGUGGGCUGCAAGAUGAGGGCGGAACACAGCCCACUGCACAGAGCCACAGAGACAGGAAUUAGCUAAGAGAUGGAGGAGGUGGAGGGAGGGUUGCUUAUGAUUAGAUCAAGAAUAAAAGCUUUCAAUGGACAACAAUUCUUUCCACAAAAAUAUUCCAGAUGAACUUUGAGGACAUCAUAUACCAAGGUGACCAGGAGAGAGAGAAAGAAAUUAAAGUGAAUGGGUGAUUUAAUGUGUGCUGCUAUCCGUCAGAGAAAGUUCCUCUCCACUUUAAUCGGUUCCGUACACAGAUGAAAGCAGGCACCGUGACAUGGAAGGAGAGGCAGCUUGAGACAAAGGAGAUCCUGGUGGAAACUGUCCAUGGGGCAAGAUUACUGAUUCUCUUUGCCUAAAGAUGUCAUGAAGACCAGUGCAGUUAAGUUCCUUGGGAAAAAAAUCUAUAAAACAAAGUUUCUUUGCGCCCUGCGAAGUGAGGUCAUGCACACCGCGGGAGUGAACGAUAUGACACUCGGAGUUGGACUUCCUUCGGCAAUAGAAAAAGCAGGCCUUCAUCCUGCUUUCAUCUGGGCUAUAGAACCAAGCAAGUAGUGCCACGAAAGUCACUGGAUGGGGCAUUUGCAAUAAUUAGGUCCUAGCCCUACCGUUAGGAUCUUGUUACCGGAGACAUUAGCGUACUGAAAGCCACCUGCAGAAAAGGUCAAAACUGAGACUGGGCUGCGCAGGCGCUGAGGACGCAGCAACGCCACCUGCUCGCGGAGAUCAGAGAGCCACCUUCUGCUCCAUCCGCUGCACUAAAAGCCGAUCCACUGCUGUAUGACGUCAGUCUGCUACGGCAUUCGUGUUUUGCGGAAACUGGUCAGUUUUCGACUGAGCUAACUUCAGAAAAAAUAGUUCUUUCCCAGAGACUCUCUAUGGACAUUUUCUUUUCUUUUACUUUUCUUGGCUUGUGGUCUGGAUCUGUUGCUUGAGGUAAAGUCGAUGCCAUAAAAGUCAAUGCCUUCCUCCACUCCAAUUUUCUGCCUUAUAAACCCAUGGCUAUAACCAUCUCCUGGGUGUUUGGG